CACUGUAUAUGCACAUGAUAUUGAGAAUGGAAUAAAGAUACUGACACCAGCAAUAGUUAUUGAAUACACAGUUGACUGGAUUAAACCAUCAGAUACAGAGAGUGAAUUUUCAAGUGGAAAAGAGUUUAUGAUAAACCAAACAAGCAGCAAAGGAUUGAUAAUUCCAAUGGAGUCCAGUGCUACCUCAACUAGUUCAGUAUUACUUACUACUGCUACUAAUAAUAUUGAUAGUCAAAGUCAAUCACAGGUCACUAACAUAAUAUUGGGAGUUCUCCUUGGACUCACAACCCUUGCUGUUCUCAUAUUAUUACUAGCAAUGAUUGCAAUACUGAGGAAAAAAGGUAAAAGAUACA